AUGCAGAGAUUUGGCGAUCCUCUCCACCUCCUCGGCCGUCUCCCUGUCGUCACGGAGGAUCAUCUUCCCCUCUGGCCUGAGGAUCCGGUCCACCUCCGCCAUCACCAGCCUCACCUUGCACCUGUACUUGAGCUUGGAGAAGAGAUGGUCGGCGUGGACGAGAUCGUACGACCUCGGGUACGUGCUCAGGGACUCGCACCAGUCGUGGUACAUCCCCAGCAGCCCGCGCUCGUAGAUGAUGGGCAGCGUGUCCGGCGACUCCACCGGCACGAUGUUCAUCACCCACACCUUCAUGUCGCGCAGCGCCGCCGCCAACCUGAUCGAUCAAGCCAUGUCCAUGUCCAUGUCAUGCAUGCUCCUCCUUCAACUUCAACACACAAGGAAAGGAAAGGAAAGGAAAGGAAAGGAAAGGAAAGGGCUUACCCGCCGUAG
rnacentral:rRNA from 1 species